AUGUUGCAUUCCGUUACUAUUUUCAUUUCUCAGGAAGAAGAAGAGGAGGAUCGGCCUGUAAUCCUGCUCACCUGCUGGGUGCGAGAUAGCGGCAGCAUGGAUUUCGAACUCCGUGUUAUCGAAGCUAUCACAAACAACUUUGCAGACGAUCAGAUAGUUGGCAGCGGUGGAUACGGAGUUGUUUACAGGGCGACCCAUGAAGGGGAAGAAAUUGCCGUGAAGAAGCUUCGUCAACUGCCAGGACUCGAUGAUAAGCAGUUCGACAGCGAGUUCCGCAACCUUCGUAACAUACGCCACCAAAAUGUUGUGCGGCUAAUUGGCUACUGCUACGAGUCUCGGCAUAAAUACAUGGAUCACAACGGGGAUCUUGUUUUCGCUCAAAUAAUGGAGCGAGUGCUCUGCUUCGAAUAUAUGCACGGCGGAAGCCUCGAUCAACACAUUCAAGAUAAAUCUUGUGGACUUGAGUGGCCCACAUGUUACAAGAUUAUUAAAGGUACUAGUGAGGGACUAAAUCACCUUCACAACUCCCAGGGAAAACAUAUUUACCACCUAGACUUAAAGCCUGGAAAUAUUUUGUUGGAUGAAAGUAUGACGCCCAAAAUUGGAGAUCUUGGUUUGUCAAGACUCGUUGCUUCAACAAAAACACGACAAACAGAGAUGCGCGAUGGAACACUCGGGUUCAUGCCACCGGAGUACAUAGACGGUGGCUUUAUAUCAAAGAAGUUUGACGUGUUCAGUUUGGGCGUCAUAAUUAUAAAAAUAUUGGCCGGGGCUAAGAACUACAUCCGGUGUUCUGAAAUGCCCCCGGAACAGUUUAUCCAGCUUGUCAGUGAAAACUGGACGAAAAAGUUGCAGGAAAAGACAGGACAUUCCUCACACGAAAUAGACAUCCUAGGAGUGACUUCAUGUGUUGGGAUUGCACUAAGGUGUGUGGACAACGACAGAAACAAAAGGCCAUGUAUCAACGAUAUUGUGGAUGAACUGAAUCAACUAGAAGCCAAGCUUAAAGCAAUGUCACUAGCUUCUGAUGUGUCAAAAGACCUCACUGCUGUCCAGAGCAGCUGUGACACGAACAUUAUGUCGGUGGAUCCGACCAUGGAGCUGCGGUUCCCCUUUGAGCUAAGGAAGGAGGCGUCGUGCUGCCUACAGCUGACCAACAAGACGGGUGGCUUCAUCGCAUUCAACAUAGAGAUCAACCCGAACAAGUACAGUGUGCGGCCAAGCCAAGGGACGAUGCCGCCGUGCUCCAGGCGUUAUGUUGUCGUGACGCUGUCAGCGCAAGAGGUGGCACCGCAAUACAUGCGAUGCGAGGACAUGCUCCUCGUGCAGAGCACCGGUGUCAGCCAAGAUCUUGGUGAGAUCAACUAUCAAGAAUUGUUCAAGACGACCAUGGCGAAUCAGGUGGUUGAUGAGGUGAAGCUGCCGAUCGCUUAUGUCACAUUAGACCAGUAG
rnacentral:rRNA from 1 species